AUUGAACGCUGGCGGCAUGCCUUACACAUGCAAGUCGAACGGCAGCACGGGUGCUUGCACCUGGUGGCGAGUGGCGAACGGGUGAGUAAUACAUCGGAACGUACCUUAUCGUGGGGGAUAACGCAGCGAAAGCUGUGCUAAUACCGCAUAUGCCCUGAGGGGGAAAGCGGGGGAUCGCAAGACCUCGCGCGAUUAGAGCGGCCGAUGCCUGAUUAGCUUGUUGGUGGGGUAAAAGCCCACCAAGGCGACGAUCAGUAGCUGGUCUGAGAGGACGAUAAGCCACACUGGGACUGAGACACGGCCCAGACUCCUACGGGAGGCAGCAGUGGGGAAUUUUGGACAAUGGGGGCAACCCUGAUCCAGCAAUGCCGCGUGAGUGAAGAAGGCCUUCGGGUUGUAAAGCUCUUUUGUCAGGGAAGAAACACCGGCUCUAACACAGUCCGGGAAUGACGGUACCUGAAGAAUAAGCACCGGCUAACUACGUGCCAGCCGCCGCAGUAA
rnacentral:rRNA from 1 species